rnacentral:rRNA from 1 species
AGAGUUUGAUCCUGGCUCAGGAUGAACGCUAGCGGCAGGCUUAACACAUGCAAGUCGAGGGGCAUCGGGAGGGAAGCUUGCUUUCCUUGCCGGCGACCGGCGCACGGGUGAGUAACACGUAUGCAACCUGCCCUCUUCAGGGGGACAACCUUCCGAAAGGGAGGCUAAUCCCGCGUAUAUCGGUUUCGGGCAUCCGAGAUCGAGGAAAGAUUCAUCGGAAGAGGAUGGGCAUGCGGCGCAUUAGCUAGACGGCGGGGUAACGGCCCACCGUGGCGACGAUGCGUAGGGGUUCUGAGAGGAAGGUCCCCCACACUGGUACUGAGACACGGACCAGACUCCUACGGGAGGCAGCAGUGAGGAAUAUUGGUCAAUGGGAGAGAUCCUGAACCAGCCAAGCCGCGUGAGGGAAGACGGCCCUAUGGGUUGUAAACCUCUUUUGUCGGAGAACAAAACCCGGGACGAGUCCCGGACUGCGUGUAUCCGAAGAAAAAGCAUCGGCUAACUCCGUGCCAGCAGCCGCGGUAAUACGGAGGAUGCGAGCGUUAUCCGGAUUUAUUGGGUUUAAAGGGUGCGUAGGCGGUCCGUUAAGUCAGCGGUAAAAUUGCGGGGCUCAACCCCGUCGAGCCGUUGAAACUGGCAGACUUGAGUUGGCGAGAAGUACGCGGAAUGCGCGGUGUAGCGGUGAAAUGCAUAGAUAUCGCGCAGAACUCCGAUUGCGAAGGCAGCGUACCGGCGCCAGACUGACGCUGAGGCACGAAAGCGUGGGGAUCGAACAGGAUUAGAUACCCUGGUAGUCCACGCAGUAAACGAUGAAUGCUGGUUGUCCGGGUCGAAUGAGAUCUGGGCGGCGAAGCGAAAGCGAUAAGCAUUCCACCUGGGGAGUACGCCGGCAACGGUGAAACUCAAAGGAAUUGACGGGGGCCCGCACAAGCGGAGGAACAUGUGGUUUAAUUCGAUGAUACGCGAGGAACCUUACCCGGGCUCAAACGGGAGUGGAAUGGACCAGAGACGGUUCAGCCUACGGGCCGCUUCCGAGGUGCUGCAUGGUUGUCGUCAGCUCGUGCCGUGAGGUGUCGGCUUAAGUGCCAUAACGAGCGCAACCCCCGCCGGCAGUUGCUAACGGGCAAUGCCGAGGACUCUGCCGGGACUGCCGCCGCAAGGCGAGAGGAAGGCGGGGAUGACGUCAAAUCAGCACGGCCCUUACGUCCGGGGCGACACACGUGUUACAAUGGGCGGUACAGCGGGAAGCCAGGCGGCGACGCCGAGCGGAACCCGAAAGCCGUUCUCAGUUCGGAUCGGAGUCUGCAACCCGACUCCGUGAAGCUGGAUUCGCUAGUAAUCGCGCAUCAGCCAUGGCGCGGUGAAUACGUUCCCGGGCCUUGCACACACCGCCCGUCAAG